AGAAACUUAGGAUAAAUCAAACCAAAGGCCUUCAAAGCCUUAAAUAAGAGUUAGAUCCUCUUAGUUUCUG
rnacentral:tRNA from 1 species